UUUCCGUAGGUGAACCUGCGGAAGGAUCAUUGUCGAAACCUGCAUAGCAGAACAACUUGUGAACAUGUAGUUACAAUUUGGGGAGGAGGAGCGCAUGCUUGUUCUCCCCGUUGUCAAGACGUACUCGGUAACAUGCCGCCCUUUAGUGCUUUGCGUUAGGGGAGGCAUUAUUUGGGUGCUCUUGACUUAACAACGAACCCCGGCGUGAAUUGCGCCAAGGAAUUUAAAGAAAGAGCAUUCCUCCAUUGCUGCUCUAUGCGGACAAUUGGAGGAGGUGUUAUCUUCUUGAUGUCUUUAAUGACUCUCGGCAACGGAUAUCUCGGCUCUCGCAUCGAUGAAGAACGUAGCGAAAUGCGAUACUUGGUGUGAAUUGCAGAAUCCCGUGAACCAUCGAGUCUUUGAACGCAAGUUGCGCCCGAAGCCAUUUGGUUGAGGGCACGUCUGCCUGGGCGUCACGUUAACACAUCUCCCACAAACCCUUCCCCAUGUCUUGGGGCAAGGAUUUUGUGGCGAGAAGAAUUGGCCUCCCGUGUAACAUUGGCGCGGUUGACCUAAAAAAGAGUGCCGAGUGAUGAAAUGUCACGAUAAGUGGUGGUUUAUAAUCCUAAUGUGAUUUUGCCGAAUCGAGUCGUGAUCAUUUGUCACUUCAGAUAUGCUCAAGUGAACCCCAUACGUCUAGCUGACGCUAUUGUCGCGACCCCAGUCAGGCGGGAAUACCCGCUGAGUUUAA
rnacentral:rRNA from 1 species